UACAGAGGCCUCGAGCGUUAGGCGGAAUCACUGGGCUUAAAGCGUGUGUAGGUGGAUGCCUAAGUACCUUGUGAAAUCCCACGGCUUAACCGUGGAAUUGCUUGGUAUACUGGGUGUCUUGAGCCACUCAGGGGCGAGCGGAACAAACGGUGGAGCGGUGAAAUGCGUAGAUAUCGUUUGGAACGCCAAUGGUGAAAACAGCUCGCUGGGGGUGCGCUGAC
rnacentral:rRNA from 1 species